rnacentral:rRNA from 1 species
CUUAGCUACUGCGGAAGGAUCAUUA